rnacentral:rRNA from 1 species
UACGAAGGGGGCUAGCGUUGUUCGGAAUUACUGGGCGUAAAGCGCACGUAGGCGGAUUGGCAAGUCAGGGGUGAAAUCCCGGGGCUCAACCUCGGAACUGCCUUUGAUACUGCCAGUCUAGAGUCCGGAAGAGGUGGGUGGAAUUCCUAGUGUAGAGGUGAAAUUCGCAGAUAUUAGGAAGAACACCAGUGGCGAAGGCGGCCCACUGGUCCGGAACUGACGCUGAGGUGCGAAAGCGUGGGGAGCAAACAGG